rnacentral:rRNA from 1 species
AUACGUAGGGGGCGAGCGUUGUCCGGAAUGAUUGGGCGUAAAGGGCGCGUAGGCGGCCUGUUAAGUCUGGAGUGAUAGUCCUGUUUUCAAGAUGGGAAUUGCUUUGGAUACUGAUGGGCCUGAGUGCAGGAGAGGUUAUCGGAAUUCCCGGUGUAGCGGUGAAAUGCGUAGAGAUCGGGAGGAACACCAGUGGCGAAGGCGGGUAACUGGACUGCAACUGACGCUGAGGCGCGAAAGUGUGGGGAGCAAACAGGAUUAGAUACCCUGGUAGUCCACACUGUAAACGAUGAAUGCUAGGUGUAAGAGGUAUCGACCCCUUUUGUGCCGGAGUUAACACAAUAAGCAUUCCGCCUGGGGAGUACGGCCGCAAGGUUGAAACUCAAAGGAAUUGACGGGG